AGUGAACGCUGGCGGUAGGCCUAACACAUGCAAGUCGAACGGCAGCACAGUAAGAGCUUGCUCUUACGGGUGGCGAGUGGCGGACGGGUGAGGAAUACAUCGGAAUCUACUUUUUCGUGGGGGAUAACGUAGGGAAACUUACGCUAAUACCGCAUACGACCUACGGGUGAAAGCAGGGGAUCUUCGGACCUUGCGCGAUUGAAUGAGCCGAUGUCGGAUUAGCUAGUUGGCGGGGUAAAGGCCCACCAAGGCGACGAUCCGUAGCUGGUCUGAGAGGAUGAUCAGCCACACUGGAACUGAGACACGGUCCAGACUCCUACGGGAGGCAGCAGUGGGGAAUAUUGGACAAUGGGCGCAAGCCUGAUCCAGCCAUGCCGCGUGGGUGAAGAAGGCCUUCGGGUUGUAAAGCCCUUUUGUUGGGAAAGAAAAGCAGCAGGUUAAUACCCCGCUGUUCUGACGGUACCCAAGGAAUAAGCACCGGCUAACUUCGUG
rnacentral:rRNA from 1 species